GUCUCUAUGUAAAUAUAUAGAGUUUGACCUGCCCGGUGUAAAUUGUAUUAACGGCCGCAGUAUUCUGACUGUGCAAAGGUAGCAUAAUCAUUUGUCUUUUAAUUGAGGACUAGUAUGAAUGGUUUGACAAGGACUAGACUGUCUCAAGAUAUAUUAUUAGAAUUUAACUUAUAAGUGAAAAGGCUUAUAUUUUACUGAUAGACAAGAAGACCCUAUCGAGCUUAAAAUCUUAAGGUAUUAUUUAUUUAAAGAUUUUUGGUUGGGGCGACGGAGGAAUAUAAGAAACUUCCUUAAAAAUAAAAUACUUAUAUGUUGUGAUCCAUUUUAUGAUCAAUAGAGAAGCUACCGUAGGGAUAACAGCGUAAUUUUCUUUUAGAGUUCUUAUCGAAAAGGGAGUUUGCGACCUCGAUGUUGGACUAGAGGAGCCAAAAGGUGCAGAAGUUUUUUAAGGUUAGUCUGUUCGACUAUUAAAUCUCU
rnacentral:rRNA from 1 species